rnacentral:tRNA from 1 species
UGGGGUAUCGCCAAGCGGUAAGGCCUCGGUUUUUGGUACCGAUAUUCGUAGGUUCGAAUCCUACUACCCCAUCCA